AGCUCAUCUAAUCCAGAAUAAUGAAGAAACAAGCAGGGAGAAAGAGCCAUGGUUUUCUGCAGCUGGGACUUAAGAUGGGAUAGAUGUCAACUGAAGGAAUUUCUACUGAUUCCUGGGCAUACUUUCCCCAGAUGCAUUUGCAUUGGGAAACAGUGAGGAAUGGCGAGACAGUCCAAAUCCAAGUGACCUGAAGGCUUCAAAUAUCUUUGAGAAAUGAUUUCCUAAAGCUCUGAGCUGCCAUGAACUGAAAAGCGCUCCUCUACUACUCUUCUGCCAUGAUGUUUCUGCAUCGGAACCAGCUGAGAGUGGAAUAAAAGCCAUGAAACUGAGCCAAAAUAAAUCUUUGCUUUUCUAAGUUGCUUUUCUCUGGUAUUUGGUUAUAGAGACGGAAAACUGACUAACAUACACCCCAUCCAACUUAUUGGCAUAUAAUUCUCAAGACACUGAAUUCUAGUCAGGGUGGUUUCCUCCCUGGCCAGUAGAUAUACCAUACUUUCUCUGUCUCCAACCUCCAUUUAUGAGAUCAUAAACUUUGUCUUUCA